AUACAGAGGGUGCGAGCGUUAAUCGGAAUUACUGGGCGUAAAGCGCGCGUAGGCGGCUUAUUAAGUCAGAUGUGAAAUCCCCGGGCUCAACCUGGGAACUGCAUCUGAUACUGGUAAGCUCGAGUUUUGGAGAGGGAAGUAGAAUUUCAGGUGUAGCGGUGAAAUGCAUAGAGAUCUGAAGGAAUACCAGUGGCGAAGGCGACUUCCUGGCCAAAAACUGACGCUGCGGUGCGAAAGCGUGGGUAGCAAACGGGAUUAGAAACCCCAGUAGUCC
rnacentral:rRNA from 1 species